rnacentral:lncRNA from 1 species
GAAACGCCUGAAGAUUAAAACGCCCCAAGAACCAGCUAUCAGGCUGGGCCUCUGACUCCCGCGCAAGGUCACCUCCUUGCUGAGGCAGAAAGGCGCCCCCACCGCGGCGGCAGCCUCCGUGUGGAGUCGCGGCUGCCCGAAGCCCUUCAACAGGACACAAAGCGACGUCCUGAAUGUUGGAAGGAAAACUACCGACAGGGAAGGCGACGCAUCGGAGGCUGCGCGCCAAGGGUCAUUGCCGGGUGGAAAUGAUCAAACGAGGAGAAGGAAGGAAAACUUGGCACCUGCCAAAGACGGCAACUCAAGCUCCCGUUCCCUUGUGAGUGAUUUGGUAGCUUGCAUAACGAAGCCACCACCAGGCAGAACCAUCCAGCUCAAGGCUCCGCGUUUGACCUUGGAUCUGCUCCGUGGUCCUGGAUUACAGGCUCUACAUGAGAAGGCACUUUGUAAUACUUCUGGAAUUGGCUUCAAGGUCGGGGUGCCCCGUGUUCAUUGUCAUUCUUUCGUUCGUAUGUUUUUUUGAGCGCCUAGGAUAGGCUAUGCACUUGGCUGUGGCUAAAUUUUGGGUGAAGAUUUAGAAGUUAGCUCUUUGGGCAGAGAUGAAAGGCAGGGCCCUGCAGUUAUGGACGCUCUGGCCCAGUUAAAAUUAAGGUGUCCGCGGGGUGUGCCUCCAGGGCAGGCUUGGGGAGAACCCUUUGUCUUGCCUUUUCCAGCCGCUAGAGGACGCUCCUGGGUCUCCCUCCAUCUUCAAAGGCAGGAGUGGCUGGUCCAAGCCUUUCCUCUGAUGCCAUUUCCCUGCAUCUGAUGCCUCUGCCUCUGCUUCCCUGACUAAAGACCCUGGUAAUUACACUGGGCCCUCCCUUAGGUCAAGGCCAUCUGCCUGGCAACCCUAAUUCUUCCCUGACACAAACCACAACAGACUCCCAGGCUCCGGAGACCAGGAAGUGGCACGUUUGGGGCCAUUAUGCUGCUUAAGGCAAUGCUAGAAUCAGUCACUUCCUGAAUUAUGCGAUGCCAGGGGUCUUCACAAAGAAAACAUUCAGUUGUUAAAAUUCACGUCUUUCGAAUCUGUUGUUGAGGGUUUAGAAUAAAAUUGUCUGGUUUCUAUUCCUAAAAAGAAGC